rnacentral:rRNA from 1 species
UUUGAUCAUGGCUCAGGAUGAACGCUAGCUACAGGCUUAACACAUGCAAGUCGAGGGGAAACGACAUCGAAAGCUUGCUUUUGAUGGGCGUCGACCGGCGCACGGGUGAGUAACGCGUAUCCAACCUGCCCACCACUUGGGGAUAACCUUGCGAAAGUAAGACUAAUACCCAAUGACGUCUCUAGAAGACAUCUGAAAGAGAUUAAAGAUUUAUCGGUGAUGGAUGGGGACGCGUCUGAUUAGCUUGUUGGCGGGGUAACGGCCCACCAAGGCUACGAUCAGUAGGGGUUCUGAGAGGAAGGUCCCCCACAUUGGAACUGAGACACGGUCCAAACUCCUACGGGAGGCAGCAGUGAGGAAUAUUGGUCAAUGGACGAGAGUCUGAACCAGCCAAGUAGCGUGCAGGAUGACGGCCCUAUGGGUUGUAAACUGCUUUUAUAAGGGAAUAAAGUGAGUCUCGUGAGGCUUUUUGCAUGUACCUUAUGAAUAAGGACCGGCUAAUUCCGUGCCAGCAGCCGCGGUAAUACGGAAGGUCCGGGCGUUAUCCGGAUUUAUUGGGUUUAAAGGGAGCGUAGGCCGGAGAUUAAGCGUGUUGUGAAAUGUAGACGCUCAACGUCUGCACUGCAGCGCGAACUGGUUUCCUUGAGUACGCACAAAGUGGGCGGAAUUCGUGGUGUAGCGGUGAGAUGCUUAGAUAUCACGAAGAACUCCGAUUGCGAAGGCAGCUCACUGGAGCGCAACUGACGCUGAAGCUCGAAAGUGCGGGUAUCGAACAGGAUUAGAUACCCUGGUAGUCCGCACGGUAAACGAUGGAUGCCCGCUGUUGGUCUGAAUAGGUCAGCGGCCAAGCGAAAGCAUUAAGCAUCCCACCUGGGGAGUACGUCGGCAACGGUGCAACUCAAAGGAAUUGACGGA